GAUGAAGAACGUAGCGAAAUGCGAUACGUAGUGUGAAUUGCAGAAUUCAGUGAAUCAUCGAAUCUUUGAACGCACAUUGCACCUCUCGGUAUUCCGGGAGGUAUGCCUGUUCGAGCGUCAUUUGUACCCUCAAGCUCUGCUUGGUGUUGGGUGUUUGUUCCGCCUCUGUGUGUGAACUCGCCUGAAAACAAUUGGCAGCCGGCGUACUUGUUUCGGAGCGCAGCACAUUUUGCGAUCCAGAUCAACGUACAGCGGCAUCCAAGAAGCCUUAUUUAACGCUCUUGACCUCGGAUCAGGUAGGGAUACCCGCUGAACUUAAGCAUAUCAAUAAGCGGAGGA
rnacentral:misc_RNA from 1 species